AACGAACGCUGGCGGCGCGCUUAACACAUGCAAGUCGAACGAGAAGGCGUAGCAAUACGCUUGUACAGUGGCGAACGGGUGAGGAAUACAUGGGUAACCUACCCUCGAGUGGGGGAUAACCCGCCGAAAGGCGGGCUAAUACCGCGUACGCUUCCGAUCUUGCGGGAUUGGAAGGAAAGCUGUCCCUUGGGGAUGGCGCUCAAGGAUGGGCUCAUGUCCUAUCAGCUUGUUGGUAGGGAACGGCCUACCAAGGCAUCGACGGGUAGCUGGUCUGAGAGGACGAUCAGCCACACUGGCACUGCGACACGGGCCAGACUCCUACGGGAGCAGCAGUGAGGAAUAUUGCGCAAUGGGCGAAAGCCUGACGCAGCGACGCCGCGUGGGGGAUGAAGGU
rnacentral:rRNA from 1 species